GACGAACGCUGGCAGCGUGCCUAAUACAUGCAAGUCGAGCGAAUCACUGGGAGCUUGCUCCUGGUGGUUAGCGGCGGACGGGUGAGUAACACGUGGGCAACCUGCCUGUAAGACUGGGAUAACACCGGGAAACCGGUGCUAAUACCGGAUAAUCCUUUCCCUCUCAUGAGGGAAAGCUGAAAGUCGGUUUCGGCUGACACUUACAGAUGGGCCCGCGGCGCAUUAGCUAGUUGGUGAGGUAACGGCUCACCAAGGCGACGAUGCGUAGCCGACCUGAGAGGGUGAUCGGCCACACUGGGACUGAGACACGGCCCAGACUCCUACGGGAGGCAGCAGUAGGGAAUCUUCCACAAUGGACGAAAGUCUGAUGGAGCAACGCCGCGUGAGCGAUGAAGGCCUUCGGGUCGUAAAGCUCUGUUGUUAGGGAAGAACAAGUACCGGAGUAACUGCCGGUACCUUGACGGUACCUAACCAGAAAGCCACGGCUAACUACGUGCCAGCAGCCGCGGUAACAC
rnacentral:rRNA from 1 species